rnacentral:tRNA from 1 species
GCGGGCGUGGUGGAAUUGGUAGACACGCUAGAUUCAGGUUCUAGUGGGCUUACGCCCGUGGGGGUUCGAGUCCCUCCGCCCGCACCA